rnacentral:rRNA from 1 species
CCUACGUGUGGCAGCCGUGAGGAAUAUUGGUCAAUGGGCUUACGCCUGAACCAGCCAAGUCGCGUGAGGGAAGACUGCCCUAUGGGUUGUAAACCUCUUUUGUCAGGGAGCAACGCCGGCUACGUGUAGCCGGACUGAGAGUACCUGAAGAAAAAGCAUCGGCUAACUCCGUGCCAGCAGCCGCGGUAAUACGGAGGAUGCGAGCGUUAUCCGGAUUUAUUGGGUUUAAAGGGUGCGUAGGCGGAAUGCCAAGUCAGCGGUAAAAUCGCGGGGCUCAACCUCGCUCCGCCGUUGAAACUGGCGUUCUUGAGUGGGCGAGAAGUAUGCGGAAUGCGUGGUGUAGCGGUGACAUGCGUAGAUAUUAGGAGGAACACCAGUGGCGAAGGCGGGUUGCUAGACUGUAACUGACACUGAGGCACGAAAGCGUGGGGAGCAAACAGGAUUAGAUACCCUGGUAGUC